AUACUUACCUGGCAGGGGAGAUACCAUGAUCAUGAAGGUGGUUUUCCCAGGGUGAGGCUCACCCAUUGCACUCUGGAUGUGCUGACCUCUGCGAUUGCCUCAAAAUGUGGGAAACUCGACUGCAUCAUUUGUGGUAGUGGGGGGACUGCGUUCACACUCUCCUCUA
rnacentral:snRNA from 1 species